rnacentral:rRNA from 1 species
UACAGAGGUCUCAAGCGUUUGUUCGGAAUCACUGGGGCGUAAAGGGUGCGUAGGCCGCACGGUAAGUCAGAGGUGAAAUCCCGGAGCUCAACUUCGGAACUGCCUCCGAUACUGCCGUGCUUGAGGACUGGAGAGGAGAUUGGAAUUCACAGUGGAGCAGUGAAAUGCGUAGAUAUUGUGAGGAACACUAGUGGCGAAGGCGAAUCUCUGGACAGUUCCUGACGGCUGAGGCACGAAGGCCAGGGGAGCAAACGGG